AUUGCUGUAAUGGCAGGUCAGCAUACUGCCGUGAAUACUUCCCGGGCCUUGUACACACCGCCCGUCACACCAUGAGAGUUGGAAAUACCCGAAGCCUGUGAGCUAACUUAAAGAGGCAGCAGUCGAAGGUAGAGCCAAUGAUUGGGGUGAAGUCGUAACAAGGUACC
rnacentral:rRNA from 1 species